CUUUGGUGAAAUUGAAUACAAUACUGGGGAUAACUGGUGCGAAAACGGAACUGCUGUGACCUGUGCGGGGACCUGCGACACCCAGCCCUCGGGCCUGUCCUGCGAUACGACUAGCACAGUACCAAGCACUAUUAUGACUUCAACCGCUGGAGCCAC